rnacentral:rRNA from 1 species
UACACACCGCCCGUCACAUCACGAAAGUUGGUUGCACUAGAAGUCGGUGGGCUAACCCGCAAGGGAGGCAGCCGCCUAAAGUGUGAUUAGUAAUUGGGGUG